ensembl:lncRNA
UCCCCAUCGAUAACGACGUGCUCGUUCACCGGCGUGCCGCUUUCUCGAGCUCAAAAUCGUGGGCAUGUAUAUCCAGUGAAGAAGAAAUCAAAAUAAAAACAUCCAGUGUUCCUUGCAGUCAUAAAGCAGGCGGCCAGCGUCCUCUCCCCCUCGCUGGAUGGUGCUGCCAGGACCUGGGAAGGCACACGCGCAACCCUGCUGUCUUGGGUACCCGUCUAUUGCUCGUCCGAUUGACAGGUCUCUGAACAAAUCGCGUUUCGUUUCUGAAAUGGUUCAGCCAAUCAGCGGACGAGAGGAAGAAACGAAGCUCCAGCCAUAAUAAACAGGCCCUUGUUGCAUGUGGAAGCUAGCGCCAUUACGGCUACACGAUACUGUAAAAGAUAGCGAGAGUCUAUGGAGGCUUUGAGCCGAAAUGGAGAGCGAGGGGCCCCACUUACCCAGAGCUAUUACGCGAGACAUGCCAUCCAAUUAGCACCUGCCAUUGAAAGUGGGCUUGUUUACGAGACUGGAAAUCUUAAUCAAGUUGACUUGAUCAGUUUAGAGUGCACAGCUGUACAUUCCACACCUUUGACCUCAACUCUUAUGUGUUUGCUUAAGGAUAAAUGCUUCAUCUCAGCUGGCUCUCACAGCACUGGCAGUGUACUGAAGCAUGCAGCUUUUGAACCAAGACAUCGUACAGACUUCGGAUACUUCAAGAACAGAAACAGAUUAAGAAAUAAUUAUGAAACAUCCCACGUUUUCUGAAGACUGACUAUUUUGGAAACCAUUACAUGCUGCAUUUAAAACAUGGAGAAGAAGAAAAAAAAUAAAAAACUCUUGCAAAGGAAAGACA